CUAUGGUGUCCUAUGGUAGCCUGAUGCCAUAUAUCUGCCUUCUGCUUGCACUCACUAACUGGAAGAAACCCAUCAGAAACCUUUAAGGAGACAAGCUGAAGCUGCAUCUCAUAUGAUAGCCUAUAUUGUAAGAACCAUGACAAUGAUAAUAAAGAAUCCAAACAGGAUAAAAAUCAGGAGCAUCAUAUUGAUGUCUUCAUUAUCUGGAUGAGUUACAUUUCAAAAUUCUAGAAAGAGUUUUCUAUCAAUAAGGCCCUUUACAAUUUCCCAAAAUGUUG